GCAGGCGUAGCUCAGUUGGUUAGAGCGCCGGUCUGUGGAACCGGAGGUCGGUGGUUCAAGUCCACCCGCCUGUACCA
rnacentral:tRNA from 4 species